rnacentral:rRNA from 1 species
UACGGAGGAUGCAAGCGUUAUCCGGAAUGAUUGGGCGUAAAGCGUCCGCAGGUGGCAGUUCAAGUCUGCUGUCAAAGACCGGGGCUUAACUUCGGAAAGGCAGUGGAAACUGAACAGCUAGAGUAUGGUAGGGGCAGAGGGAAUUCCUGGUGUAGCGGUGAAAUGCGUAGAGAUCAGGAAGAACAUCGGUGGCGAAGGCGGGUCUCUGGGCAGUAACUGACGCUGAGGAGCGAAAGCGUGGGGAGCGAACAGG